rnacentral:lncRNA from 10 species
UGCCCCAGGGGCUUCACUGGAGCCCCAGGCCCGGGGACCUCCUUCUCAGCCACGACCACCUGCCAGGAGACGCCCCCGCAGCUGCCCAUCUGCCCACAGAUGUUCUAAGCCUCCCCCGUGCCAGGCAUUGUGCACAGAGUGGUUGCAGGAGGGUCCACCAAGCACCUUCCCUGGAGGCCCAGGAACAGCAGGCUCCUCACACCCACAGCCAACCCAGCCUCCAGCCUCCGCCCCC